rnacentral:rRNA from 1 species
CGUAGGGUGGCAAGCGUUAAUCGGAAGUUACUGGGCGUAAAGCGUGCGCAGGCGGUUUUGUAAGACUGUCGUGAAAUCCCCGGGCUCAACCUGGGAAUGGCGAUGGUGACUGCAAGGCUAGAGUUUGGCAGAGGGGGGUAGAAUUCCACGUGUAGCAGUGAAAUGCGUAGAUAUGUGGAGGAACACCGAUGGCGAAGGCAGCCCCCUGGGUCAAAACUGACGCUCAUGCACGAAAGCGUGGGGAGCAAACAGGAUUAGAUACCCUGGUAGUCCACGCCCUAAACGAUGUCUACUAGUUGUCGGGUCUUAAUUGACUUGGUAACGCAGCUAACGCGUGAAGUAGACCGCCUGGGGAGUACGGUCGCAAGAUUA